rnacentral:rRNA from 1 species
UACGUAGGAGGCGAGCGUUGUCCGGAGUUACUGGGCGUAAAGGGUGCGCAGGCGGUGGCCCGCGUGGGCGGUGAAAGCUCCUGGCUCAACUGGGAGAGGGCCGUCCAGACGGGGUCACUUGAGGGGCGGAGAGGGGCGUGGAAUUCCGGGUGGAGCGGUGAAAUGCGUAGAGGUCCGGAGGAACACCGACGGCGAAGGCGAGUCUCUGGGCCGAUACUGACGCUGAGGAGCGAAAGCGUGGGGAGCGAACAGG